rnacentral:rRNA from 1 species
AGUGAACGUUGGCGGCGUGGAUUAGGCAUGCAAGUCGAGCGAGAACCGUAGCAAUACGGGGACAGCGGCGAAAGGGACAGUAAUGUGUAGGUACCUACCCCGAGGUCUGGGAUAGCUGCGGGAAACUGCCGGUAAUACCCGAUGAUCUGGCGAGCUUUAAAGGCUUGUCAGCAAAGGUGUGAUUCCGCCUGAGGACCGGCUGAGGCGCUAUUAGCUAGUUGGUGAGGUCACGGCUCACCAAGGCGACGAUGGCUAGGGGGUGUGAGAGCAUGGCCCCAACCACUGGCACUGAGACACUGGCCAGACACCUACGGGUGGCUGCAGUCGAGAAUCUUCGGCAAUGGGCGCAAGCCUGACCGAGCGACGCCGCGUGCGGGAUGAAGGUCUUCGGAUUGUAAACCGCUGUCGGGAGGGAUGAAGUGCGCGGGGGUUCUCCCCCGUGUUUGACAGAGCUCCAGAGGAAGCACGGGCUAAGUUCGUGCCAGCCGCCGCCGUAA